rnacentral:lncRNA from 10 species
GAGGAAAGGCCAUGUGAGGUCUCAGCAAGAAGGCCAUAGUCUACAAACCAGAAAGGCAGCCCUUACCAGAGACCAACCCUGCCAGACCUUGAUCAUGGACUCCUAGCCUCCAGAACUUUGUCUCUGAAAAUGUCUCCUCAUCUGCCUUUGAGUGGUAUGGAAUCACUGCUGAGCCUCCACUAUUGGUGCCAUCAAAGACCUCAGUGAUGCCAAGCAAUCCUUUGGAUGGCAGUUCCAAUGUAUGAAGCAAUGGACACAAGGAUCAAAACACACAGUUUUGGAAUAACUGGCCCCCAGUUGGGCUGAACUGCACAAUCAUCAACUUCCCUGUUGACUCUGCCUCUAAAGACAAUAGGUCUUGGGUUCAAGCUCCACGUGGAUCUGUUAGUGCCUUUUUCUGUUUUAUGGCCAGAGAUGCAAAUUACAUCUAUGUUUAUUCCUCUUGCUAUCUAUGUCUUUUAAUGUUUCACACUCUGCAUAGGAAAAGUACUUUGUAACAUCUAAUUCUAGUCCUCCCUGUCACAAUUUAAACCCAUCCCUAUUCUGCGUUGGGGGAGGACAAAAGACAACUCUUGAUUAACUUUCAUGCCCCAUUUUGAUUCCUUUCUGGAUCAGUUAGCUUUUGCUGUAUAACAAACCA